rnacentral:rRNA from 1 species
UACGUAGGGGGUAAGCGUUGUCCGGAAUCAUUGGGCGUAAAGCGCGUGUAGGCGGCCCGGUAAGUCCGCUGUGAAAGUCGGGGGCUCAACCCUCGAAUGCCGGUGGAUACUGUCGGGCUAGAGUGCGGAAGAGGCGAGUGGAAUUCCUGGUGUAGCGGUGAAAUGCGCAGAUAUCAGGAGGAACACCAAUUGCGAAGGCAGCUCGCUGGGACGUGACUGACGCUGAGACGCGAAAGCGUGGGGAGCAAACAGG